GAUGAACGCUAGCUACAGGCUUAACACAUGCAAGUCGAGGGACCGGCGCGCGGGUGAGUAACACGUAUCCAACCUGCCCUUUACUCGGGGAUAGCCUUUCGGAAGCAAGAUUAAUACCCGAUAUAAAGGAUGGGGAUGCGUUCCAUUAGGUUGUUGGUGAGGUAACGGCUCACCAAGCCUUCGAUGGAUAGGGGUUAGGAGAGGAAGGCCCCCUAGAUUGGAGCUGCGACACGGUCCAAACUCGGACGGGAGGCAGCAGUGAGGAAUAUUGGGCAAUGGGCGGUAGCCUGAACCAGCCAAGUAGCGGGAAGGAUGAAGGCGUAUGGGUCGUAAAUUUCUUGUAUAUAAGAAUAGGUAUUAUAUGAAUAAGGAUCGGCUAACUCCGUGCCAGCAGCCGCGGUAAUAC
rnacentral:rRNA from 1 species